rnacentral:snRNA from 1 species
AGAUGUGAGGGCAAGCUGGCUGUGACAUCUGUCACCCAUCAAUUGUCAGCAUUGAUUCGGCUGAUCUGGCUGGCUAGGUGUGUGUCCCCUUCCUUAGUCACCACUCCAUGUGUCCUUCCUGAAGUUGCGUGCUUGGUCAAAGAGGACAACUAUCACCAAUAGAGAGGAGAAUCAUUCAUUGGUCAAGGGUAUAUGAGUAGCUGCCUUCCCCUGAUAGAACCUCCAAACAAGCUCUCAAGAUACGAGCUAAUUCAGUGUCUCAUGAGUGCUUUCUGCUUCAUAGAUGGCACUCACAU